rnacentral:rRNA from 1 species
AUUGAACGCUGGCGGCAGGCCUAACACAUGCAAGUCGAGCGAGCGGCGGACGGGUGAGUAAUGUCUGGGGAACUGCCCGAUAGAGGGGGAUAACUACUGGAAACGGUAGCUAAUACCGCAUACUAUCGGAUGAACCCAUAUGGGAUUAGCUAGUAGGUGGGGUAACGGCUCACCAAGGCGACGAUCCCUAGCUGGUCUGAGAGGAUGACCAGCCACACUGGAACUGAGACACGGUCCAGACUCCUACGGGAGGCAGCAGUGGGGAAUAUUGCACAAUGGGCGCAAGCCUGAUGCAGCCAUGCCGCGUGUAUGAAGAAGGCCUUCGGGUUGUAAAGUACUUUCAGCGGGGAGGCGUUACCCGCAGAAGAAGCACCGGCUAACUCCGUGCCAGCCGCCGCGGUAAUAC